UGCUUGUUUCAAAGAUUAAGCCAUGCAUGUCUAAGUAUAAGCGAACUUAUACAGUGAAACUGCGGAUGGCUCAUUAAAACAGUUUGAAUUUAUUUGAUGAAUGUAUGAGAAUACUACUUGGAUAACCGUAGUAAUUCUAGAGCUAAUACAUGCAACGACGCCCGACCGUUUCAUUACGGAAGGGCUGUAUUUAUUGGAUACCAAAACCAUCCUUCCCUCGGGAAGUUUUGUUUGAUGAUUCACAAUAACUGAUCGGAUCGCCACUGUGGUGGCGACAGGUCAUUCAACAUUCUGCCCUAUCAGCUUUCGAUGGUUGUGUAGUGGACAACCAUGGCCAUAACGGGUAACGGAGAAUCAGGGUUCGAUUCCGGAGAAGGAGCUUGAGAAUUGGCUACUACAUCUAAGGAAGGCAGCAGGCGCGCAAAUUACCCAAUCCCGAUUCGGGGAGGUAGUGACAAAGAAUAACAAUACCGGGCCUUUUUGGGCUUGGUAAUUGGAAUGAGGGAGAGUUAAACGGACCAUCGAGUAUCCAUUGGAGGGCAAGUCUGGUGCCAGCAGCUGCGGUAAUACCAGCUCCAAUAGCGUAUAUUAAAGUUGUUGCAGUUAAAAAGCUCGUAGUUGGACUUGUGUGCGCUGUCCGCGGGUGGCCUGCGCCCAAAAGGGCGUUUCGGUUCGGCCCCGGUGGCGCCUUGAAAUCUGCAGCUGGGGGGACGUUGGCCUUAACUGGUCGGCGACCGCACGCCGGCUGCUCGGUUACUGUGAGAAAAUUAGAGUGUUCAAGGCAGGCAUUGGGUGCAAUUGAAUACAUUAGCAUGGAAUAAUAAAAUAUGGCUCCUGCCGUAUUUUGUUGGUUUUGACUGGUGGGAGUAAUGAUUGAUAGGGACGGUUGGGGGUGCUAGUAUUGAGCGGCCAGAGGUGAAAUUCAUGGAUUCGCUCAAGACUAACUUAUGCGAAAGCAUUCACCAAGGACGUCCUCUUUAAUCAAGAACGAAAGUUGGGGGAUCGAAGACGAUCAGAUACCGUCGUAGUCUCAACCAUAAACUACGUCGACUUGGGAUCGGCGGUAGUUUUUUCAUUAAGACACUGUCGGGACCACGGGAGGAAUCAAAGUGUCUGGACUCUGGGGGAAGUAUGGUCGCAAGGCUGAAACUUGAAGGAAUUGACGGAAGGGCACCACCAGGAGUGGAGCCUGCGGCUUAAUUUGACCCAACACGGGGAAACUUACCAGGUCCAGAGAUGUAGA
rnacentral:rRNA from 1 species